UACGGGGGGGGCAAGCGUUGUUCGGAAUUACUGGGCGUAAAGGGUUAGUAGGUGGCCAACUAAGUCAGACGUGAAAUCCCUCAGCUCAACUGGGGAACUGCGUCUGAGACUGAUUGGCUCGAGGACAGGAGAGGAACGCGGAAUUCCAGGUGUAGCGGUGAAAUGCGUAGAUAUCUGGAGGAACACCGGUGGCGAAGGCGGCGUUCUGGACUGUUUCUGACACUGAAUAACGAAAGCCAGGGGAGCAAACGGG
rnacentral:rRNA from 1 species